GCUGUCGUCAGCUCGUGUCGUGAGAUGUUGGGUUAAGUCCCGCAACGAGCGCAACCCUCGAUCUUAGUUACCAUCAUUGAGUUGGGGACUCUAAGAUAACCGCCGGUGAUAAGCCGGAGGAAGGUGGGGAUGACGUCAAGUCCUCAUGGCCCUUACGCGCUGGGCUACACACGUGCUACAAUGGCAACUACAGUGGGCAGCGACCCUGCGAGGGCGAGCUAAUCCCCAAAAGUUGUCUCAGUUCGGAUUGUUCUCUGCAACUCGAGAGCAUGAAGGCGGAAUCGCUAGUAAUCGCGGAUCAGCAUGCCGCGGUGAAUACGUUCCCAGGCCUUGUACACACCGCCCGUCACACCAUGGGAGUUGGAUUCACCCGAAGGCGUUGCGCCAACCCGCAAGGGAAGCAGGCGACCACGGUGGGUUCAGCGACUGGGGUGAAGUCGUAACAAGGUAG
rnacentral:rRNA from 1 species